UCCAAUGUGGUGUAGUGGCUAACAUUGCUGUCUUUCACCUAUUUCGGGUCAGCACAGCAGCCCGGGGUUCGAUUCCCCGCAUUGGAA
rfam:Moniliophthora roreri MCA 2997 sctg_0231_0001, whole genome shotgun sequence.